rnacentral:ncRNA from 1 species
GGGCAGGAUGUGUGAAGGAGUCCCACUAUGCAAGCAUAGCGAUGACUCUUCACUUUCCUUAUUCGCACCUGCGGCGCUCAACGGCAAUCCUGCCCUGCGGG